CCUACGGGGGGCAGCAGUAGGGAAUCUUUCACAAUGGGCGAAAGCCUGAUGGAGCAACGCCGCGUGCAGGAUGAAGGCCUUCGGGUUGUAAACUGCUUUUAUAAGCGAGAAAUAUGAUGGUAACUUAUGAAUAAGGAUCGGCUAACUACGUGCCAGCAGCCGCGGUCAUACGUAGGAUCCGAGCAUUAUCCGGAGUGACUGGGUGUAAAGAGUUGCGUAGGUGGGAUAAUAAGUAGCUAGUGAAAUCUGGUGGCUCAACCAUUCAGACUAUUAGCUAAACUGUUAAGCUCGAGACCGUUAGGGGUAACUGGAAUUUCUAGUGUAGGAGUGAAAUCCGUAGAUAUUAGAAGGAACACCAAUAGCGUAGGCAGGUUGCUGGGACGGUUCUGACACUAAGGCACGAAAGCGUAGGGAGCAAACGGGAUUAGAUACCCCUGCAGUC
rnacentral:rRNA from 1 species